CCGCUAACCAAACCUUGACUGUUAUCCUUUUCGUUUUUAAUUGUUGAUCGUUGACUGAACUUGUUGUUUCGUUAUUUUUAUUAAACUUUUAUCAACCAAUCCAGUGUAGUUGUUCGUAUACACUCAAACCUAACCACUUCUAUUCUCGUAAUAGAAAUAGGGGAUCAAUCAGUUCGUGGCGUCGAUUGUUUAAUCGUAACGAGAAUUUACGACUCUCGUUGACGCAUUAUCUCGCGAUCGCGUCUCUCCGCGAACGGUUGAAACACUCUGUUUCUCGUCCUCUUUGAUCACCCUAAUCGUUGUCUUUCCGCAGCGAAUUAUCCCACUUCAGCUAGGAGAGCUGCUAGUGCCGGAUGUGGCCACGUUUACUGCCUAUAAUUGCAGAGAAGACGCGGCGCGCCGUUCCGCCCAAUUAUUUGGGGACAAAUGCCCGCCAAAAAAGAAGCCUUCGACUCGUCCGCCGGGUUAAGGACGUCUUUCGGUGGAUCGUCAGAAAAUUAUUUAUGACGGAAAAAUAAUUGCCGAUGUAUCUAAAUGUACUUUCUCUGUCAAACGAAACUCUAUGGCUGUAACUACGAUGAUCGAUGUAUAGCGGUGCGCGAAACAACCCGUCCAAUCUGAAAGAAAAGAAUUUAUUUGAAGGAUAAAGCGAAAGAGGUUCAAUUCUGCUCUCUGCGAACGAAAUUAGAAAUUUUAAACGAAGCUAGAAAUAUAGAAUAGUCCGUUAUAUGUACAAUGGCAGCAACGUACCGACGCGUAUACGCAUAUACAAUCGUACGCGUGCGUUAUUUCGCGUGUAUUUUACAGACGAAAUUGGAGGGGCGGCUCGAAUUAAAAACUAAUCCAAUAUUAGCUUCGGCCUGGCGAGGCGAUACGAUGCUCAACAAUUAUUUCCUCCCCUGUGUUUUCACGCACGCUGGAAAACCAUCCCCUCAGCUCCGCCUAUACGUAUCGCUGGCCGCAAAGAAGGGAGCAGUUGCGAGAAUUAUUCAUCUGUAAAAUGCGAUCGGUGGUAUUUACGACAAACGAUUUACAGUUACUCGUUUACAUCUUUAGAAUCUUCUAUUUAUACAUACGUAUAUUUAUUGGAAAAAAGAAUAGCAAAAGCAAUGAAUUCUGGACGAACGAUAAAGCAUUCUUUAAUAUCGGCGUUCAAGUUAAUUAAUUGUUGUCUGAUCGACAAUCGUGUAACUGUAUAGAAUACCAUAACUGAGACCGACUGGAUACUAUACUAGAGAAAUUGGAAAUAAAUAAAUUUAAUUGGAAACCUCAAAGCUUCGUUGAAGCUUUCAAGCAAUGGCUUUCAACAAACUGAAUUUGUAAACGAGUACCAGUUAGGUCUUAAAAACACGUACAUUCAAUGGAUGAUACUAUGAUGUAACGUAACGUGCACAGGAUAUGAUUCAAAACUAUACAUGAUAAAUAAACUGAAAUGUAAAUGAAAUUCUAAGCAAGAUAAAUCUUGCAAACGUUAAUCUUUGUUAUUAAUAAAGAAGACAGUCGAUAGCUCUGAAUCA